GCCCGGUUAGCUCAGUUAGGUAGAGCAUUGGACUUUUAAGGGUAUUUCCCGUAAGAAAUCCAAGGGUCGCGAGUUCGAGCCUCGCAUUGGGCG
rnacentral:tRNA from 1 species